UGUCUCAAGACUUUAACACAAUGGAAACAUUUGAAACAAUAGUGAACACAACUAUUUGUAUAGAAUCUACUAUACACAAAGUUUUAAAAAUAAUUAUGACUUGAACCCAGAACUGAAAGAGUCAUUGCUGAGAAGAGACUAGCAGUAAGUCAUAAACACCAUUGCAAGCAAACAAAAACAGUAUUUAUCAACUACAGUCUUGACAAAUUGGAAUUAAGAAGAGUAAGUUUUCAAAAAAAAAAAAAA